GGUGGCUCAGUGGUAGAGUGCUUGCCUUGCAUGCACGAGGCCCUGGGUUCCAUUCCUCAGCACCA
rfam:Dipodomys ordii contig_59477, whole genome shotgun sequence.